UUAAAGAAGAGAACAAAGUCAAGAACAAAUACAGACACCACGUCAUUUAAACUAGUCUGAACUGGUCUGAGACGAGGUCAGGGUUCAGGAUCCUGCCUGUUAGUGGGAAUUAGACUCCUGGUUCUGGUUUAAAGAACAAGAUGACUAAAGGGCCCUGGUGGUCCAAACUGAUCCAAAACAAGUACACUGAGACAACCACAUUGAGCGGUUUCUGAAGGACUAAUGAGGAUAAACCAGACUGAGACUCUGAUAAACCUGGUCUGAGACUGGACUAAAACUGGUUUAAUAGUUGGGUACUGAUCUGGUUUCAGUCUGGGUACUGGUUGGGUUUUAGUCUUGAACUGGUCUGGUUUCAGUCUGGGUACUGGUCUGGGUACUGGUCUGGUUUCAGUCUGGGUCCUGGUCUGGGUACUGUUCUGGUUUCAGUCUGGGUACUGGUCUGGGUACUGGUCUGGUUUCAGUCUGGGUACUGGUCUGACCUCGGGCCUUCCUCUUGUAGUAGAUGAAUCCAGCCAGAGACAAGAUCAGACCCAGGAUCAGUCCGGAGGCUCCGAUGGCGAUCUUGUUUCUCUCAGACUCA